ACAAGGAAAGGCCGCUGAAAAGCGACCUCUUUUUUCAUCAAUCAAUGUCCAGAGGCCUUGUACACNCCGCCCCNNGGUUUCGGCUAUCACUUACAGAUGGGCCCGCGGCGCAUUAGCUAGUUGGUGAGGUAACGGCUCACCAAGGCAACGAUGCGUAGCCGACCUGAGAGGGUGAUCGGCCACACUGGGACUGAGACACGGCCCAGACUCCUACGGGAGGCAGCAGUAGGGAAUCUUCCGCAAUGGACGAAAGUCUGACGGAGCAACGCCGCGUGAGUGAUGAAGGUUUUCGGAUCGUAAAACUCUGUUGUUAGGGAAGAACAAGUGCCGUUCGAAAGGGCGGCACCUUGACGGUACCUAACGAGAAAGCCACGGCUAACUACGUGCCAGCAGCCGCGGUAAUACGUAGGUGGCAAGCGUUGUCCGGAAUUAUUGGGCGUAAAGCGCGCGCAGGCGGUCUCUUAAGUCUGAUGUGAAAGCCCCCGGCUCAACCGGGGAGGGUCAUUGGAAACUGGGAGACUUGAGUACAGAAGAGGAGAGUGGAAUUCCACGUGUAGCGGUGAAAUGCGUAGAGAUGUGGAGGAACACCAGUGGCGAAGGCGACUCUCUGGUCUGUAACUGACGCUGAGGCGCGAAAGCGUGGGGAGCAAACAGGAUUAGAUACCCUGGUAGUCCACGCCGUAAACGAUGAGUGCUAGGUGUUAGGGGUUUCGACGCCCUUAGUGCCGAAGUUAACACAUUAAGCACUCCGCCUGGGGAGUACGACCGCAAGGUUGAAACUCAAAGGAAUUGACGGGGGCCCGCACAAGCAGUGGAGCAUGUGGUUUAAUUCGAAGCAACGCGAAGAACCUUACCAGGUCUUGACAUCCUUUGACCACCCUAGAGAUAGGGCUUUCCCCUUCGGGGGACAAAGUGACAGGUGGUGCAUGGUUGUCGUCAGCUCGUGUCGUGAGAUGUUGGGUUAAGUCCCGCAACGAGCGCAACCCUUGACCUUAGUUGCCAGCAUUCAGUUGGGCACUCUAAGGUGACUGCCGGUGACAAACCGGAGGAAGGUGGGGAUGACGUCAAAUCAUCAUGCCCCUUAUGACCUGGGCUACACACGUGCUNCUCNGGCNUAACACANGNANUCGAAGCCGCGAAGGNGCANCCGAUACCUNAAAGCCCU
rnacentral:rRNA from 1 species